AUUGAACGCUGGCGGCAGGCCUAACACAUGCAAGUCGAGCGAGAGGCGGACGGGUGAGUAAGGUCUGGGAAACUGCCUGCUGGAGGGGGAUAACUAAUGGAAAAGGUAGCUAAUACAGCAUAACAGCAGAUGUGCACAAAUGGGUUUAUGUAGGAGGUGGGGUAACGGCGCACACAGGCGACAAUCCCUAGCUGGUCUGAGAGGAUGACCAGCCACACUGGAACUGAGACACGGUCCAGACUCCUACGUGAUGCAGCAGUGGGGAAUAUUGCACAAGGGGCGCAAGCCUGAUGCAGCCAUGCCGCGUGUAUGAAGAAGGCCUUCGGGUUGUAAAGUACUUUCAGCGGGGAGGCGUUACCCGCAGAAGAAGCACCGGCUAACUCCGUGCCAGCAGCCGCGGUAAUAC
rnacentral:rRNA from 1 species